AUGGGAAAAGAUGUGGGACGGAGCAGGAUAACAGAGGCCCUUGUCACCUGCAUCCCCUCUCCACAUCCCACCGGGUCGCAAGUCUCCAAGGUGCAUACUAGACUCCCAAAGUUAAGAGUGAGCCUCCUUCUGAAAACACAGUGACUCGUGAGCAUUCUUGGACUUUCCAUACUUCAGCAGAGGCACGUCUCUCUGACUACACAGGGAGACGAGACCAGAACUGAGGUCUCGACUUGGACUGGUCUAGGUACUCAUGGUUAACCUAAGAGGGAUCUCCAACCUGGGAAUUCUUUGAGGCUGUACUUGACUGUUAGACAUCGACAUAGAUGAUCUCAGGUUCCUCUUCGCUUCAUUAGCAACAGCAACAACAACAACAAAAUUGUCUUCUUCUACACAAAGCGUCAAUUAGGUAAGUAAGUAGAUAUUACCCAGAAAGAGUGUGUGUCUGGGAAAUUAAAUGAAGCAAAGCAUUUUCAUCCUAACCAGACAAAUGGCCUCAAAUGGCGCAAUCCCAUCCAUCAUCCCUGUUGCUGCACCGAUUUCUCCCUCCCUCCCCUUUUCUACCCCUUCUGUCUCCUCCUCCUCUCUUAUGUAUAGCUUUCACUUCCUUCCAUAACUGUAAUCGUAACUUUCUUUGUUACGCCACCUGCAAAUUCCCCUCAGUGCUUGACAAGGAUUUUACUGAGUAAAAAAGAUGUUUGCAAAGUCUCA